rnacentral:rRNA from 1 species
CCUACGGGGUGCUGCAGUGGGGAAUAUUGGACAAUGGGCGAAAGCCUGAUCCAGCCAUGCCGCGUGUGUGAAGAAGGCCUUCGGGUUGUAAAGCACUUUCAGUGGGGAAGAAAGCCUUGGGGCUAAUACCCUCGAGGAAGGACAUCACCCACAGAAGAAGCACCGGCUAACUCCGUGCCAGACAGCCGCGGUAAUACGGAGGGUGCGAGCGUUAAUCGGAAUUACUGGGCGUAAAGCGCGCGUAGGCGGUCUGAUAAGCCGGUUGUGAAAGCCCCGGGCUCAACCUGGGAACGGCAUCCGGAACUGUCAGGCUAGAGUGCAGGAGAGGAAGGUAGAAUUCCCGGUGUAGCGGUGAAAUGCGUAGAGAUCGGGAGGAAUACCAGUGGCGAAGGCGGCCUUCUGGACUGACACUGACGCUGAGGUGCGAAAGCGUGGGUAGCAAACAGGAUUAGAUACCCCUGUAGUC